rnacentral:lncRNA from 1 species
GUAGAAGUUGUUGAAUCCACAUGUGAUGAUACAUAUAAUAAAUCAAGAAAUUAUUCACAAAAUAUAAUUAACUAAACCACCCCAAUUGUAGGUAUAAAAGCAGUACUCUAAAUAAUUUUUGUGUCUAAGAGAUUAAUACAACUCCCUAGAUUAUUAAUUAUACAGUUAUUAGAAACAACAAAUGGUUUUUAUAUGGUGAUCAAUUUCAAACUAUUUCCUCAAAUAACUCAAAAUAUAACAAUUACCAAAAAAAUACUUAAUAAAGAAUAAUAAAUGAGCAAUACAUAUAGUCAUACUUCCAGGGAUGUAUCAGAAGGGAAGGUAUAACAGAUAUGGAGUGUAUAAGAAAGUGGGAUAAAUGAGAAGUCAAUCCAAGUAUUUGAAUAGAAAAUCAAAUAUAAAGAUGCUGAUAAUUUUAUGAGAUUAAAUUCUAAACUGAAUAUAGAAUGUAUCAGAAUCCUAAAGAUAAUGUUAAAGCUGACUUGAAAGAAAUAGUAUUGAGUAAUAUAAAAUUCUUUAUAACAGCAGCAGCAACAAAACUAUAGCAAAAGAAAAGUGAAAAUAUAAAGAGAGUUUUCCAACAUCUAUAUGACAAAGGGCUGAUAUACAUGAUACAUAAAGAGUUCUUACAAAUCAAGAAGAAAUAAGCAACCACUCUACCAGAAGAACAUAAUUUCCAGCAUGUAGCAGGAAAUUCACAAAAGGAAGCUAACCUACUAAUAUUGAAAUAUCUUUUUAAUUUUUAUCAAAUACUAAAAGAAUCUUCAAAAAUUAUGGAAUUGUUGGCAAUUAUGUAGGGAAAUAGUUCUCUUGAUGAUUUACAGGUAAAACAAUUAAUUGGUAUUUCUUUUUAAAAACAUAUUUAAAAACUUAUCAAACAUUUCUAAAAGGUUCUUUUUGACCCAGGAAUUCAAAAUCUAGUAAUGUAUCCUAAGGGAAUGGUCAAAAAUAUGUAUACCAAUGAUUCAAAGUAUUUUAAAUAGCUGUAUCAAAACAAAUUAAUGAAAACAACUCAAUAUUCAACAAGAGGCAAUUUUUAGUGAACUAAAUUUAGUAGGACUUUAUUAGAACAUCCUAUUUGUUAUUAAAUAAUCUUUUUACUUAUUGAUAUAAAAGAAUAAAAUACAAUGCUAAAUGAAAAACAUGGAAUAUAAAAUGCUAACUACAGUAAGAGUUAAGUAAAAAAUACUUGAAAAUCCAUCCAAAUGUUUACUAGUUGUUAUCUCUGAGUGGCAGAACCAUG